ACGCCAGACUCCUACGGGAGGCAGCAGUGGGGAAUAUUGGGCAAUGGAGGCAACUCUUACCCAGCAAUGCCGCGUGAAUGAAGAAGGUCUUCGGAUUGUAAAGUUCUUUAAUUGGGGACGAAAAAAAUGACGGUACCCAAGGAAUAAGCCCCGGCUAACUACGUGCCAGCAGCCGCGGUAAUACGUAGGGGGCAAGCGUUGUUCGGAAUUACUGGGUGUAAAGGGAGCGCAGGCGGGAAGCCAAGUCAGCUGUGAAAACUACGGGCUUAACUUGUAGACUGCAGUUGAAACUGGUUUUCUUGAGUGAAGUAGAGGUUGGCGGAAUUCCGAGUGUAGCGGUGAAAUGCGUAGAUAUUCGGAGGAACACCGGUGGCGAAGGCGGCCAACUGGGCUUUAACUGACGCUGAGGCUCGAAAGUGUGGGGAGCAAACAGGAUUAGAUACCCUCGUA
rnacentral:rRNA from 1 species